UACGUAGGGGCCAAGCGUUAUCCGGAUUUACUGGGCGUAAAGCGCAUGUAGGUGGUCUGCUAGGUCGGACGUGAAAGCUCCUGGCUCAACUGGGAGAGGUCGUUCGAAACCAGUAGACUAGAGGAUGGUAGAGGAGAGCGGAAUUCCAGGUGUAGCGGUGAAAUGCGUAGAUAUCUGGAGGAACACCAGUGGCGAAAGCGGCUCUCUGGCCCAUUCCUGACACUGAGAUGCGAAAGCCAGGGGAGAGAACGGG
rnacentral:rRNA from 1 species